GACGUAGGGCGCGAGCGUUGUCCGGAUUUAUUGGGCGUAAAGAGCUCGUAGGCGGCUUGUCGCGUCUGCUGUGAAAAUCCGGGGCUCAACCCCGGACUUGCAGUGGGUACGGGCAGACUGGAGUGUGGUAGGGGAGACUGGAAUUCCUGGUGUAGCGGUGGAAUGCGCAGAUAUCAGGAGGAACACCGAUGGCGAAGGCAGGUCUCUGGGCCACUACUGACGCUGAGAAGCGAAAGCAUGGGGAGCGAACAGG
rnacentral:rRNA from 1 species